AUAUGAGGAUUCAUCAGAUGAGUAAUUAUCAUUCUAUGGCUGAUAUUUACACAUACCCAUUUGCAGUGUAGACCAAACCAAAAUUUAAUAACGCAUAGCAUAUUUGUACAGCCUUUCUCAUUUUCUAAACAUUUAAAAUUAGUUCUGAAAGAUGAAUGACUCAUUUUUUAAUAUAGUCCCCUUUGAAUUCAGCUCUACCCUGAGAAGGUGUUUAAGGGAUAGUAAGUGGCUCAGUUACAAAAGCACAGGAGUGUCUUAAAUACUUAGAAAGUUUCAUGCUUUUUGUUUUGCCCACAUUUUCUCUCUCAUGUCUGAAAUUUUAGGCUCAAAUCAAACUUGAAAAUGAUGAUGGGUUUUCCCAAUGAAAGGAAUCUGAAUAAGAAGCAUCAGGUGAGGGAAAAGAAGUGCCAUGGUAUUUGGCCAUUCAACAAAAUCUGCAAGUUAUAGAGACAAUAUGAAUAUAAAUGACACAUGGGACACAACAUAUGGAAUCUGUUCCUGAGUCUUCUCUGAUUAUGGGCAUGGGGUUUGCAAUCUUGGAGGCCUGGCUUUGAAUUCUGGCUUCUAUUAAUAAUUAUGCAAUACAAGUUAUUCAACUUUUCUAAGCCGUAGUUUCCUUCUCUUUAGAAGAGGCAUAGUGCCUGCAACUGCUAUUACCUAAAGAUCACUUAUCUCAUCAUUUCUGACGUUCAUUUCACUAUUGAUUCUAAAGUCUGAGUGAUCUGUUUUAACAUCAGUACACUCUGGCCCCAGGUACAGGCACUGUUUAAAAAUCAUGGCAGAUGAACGUGAGGGAGGUGAAUAAAACCUCAGUAAAACUGCCAUUAAUUUGGCACUUUAUAAGCAAGUUCUCUCUGGCAGUCAAUUCAUGCUGUCUGUUAAAGUAGCCCAACUUUUCAUUUUUAUUUUAUUUUUUACAUCUCAAUCUUUCGUGACUUAAAACUGAUGACAUCUGAAUAUUUCUCAAGCAGUUACUCCAUAUUUAUGAAGAACAGUUAAUCUGUGGAAAAGUAGAGAGAGAGGGAAGUCAUAAAAUUUUAGAGCAGUGUGAUUUCGGGCUCACGUAGAGUAGAAGAAAUUGAGAUUCAGGCAAGUUAUGUUACUUGCCCAGAAACAAAUAUUAGUCAGUGUGAUAAAAAGCAUCAGAUUCAAAAUUGUAAUGCGGAAGGGGGUCAUGGGCAGGUUCUGUUGUAUCCUGGAAGGGUGAGAUACGGUUGCAAGGUGACUUUCUCAGCCAUGCAUCACAUCGUCUUUCUCCAGGGUAUCUGUCUAGAUGUCCAGGAAGGCUGUUUCCCCCAGGUCAUAAUACUUGGGAUAUCCAACAAUACCCAGGGCACAGAGAGGUGCAGCCGCUCUUGGACAGCCAGCAGCAGUGAGUACACAGUAUGCUCACAGUAUAUAGGGAGUGUCCUGCUGGACCCAGCCUGCAGAGUCAGCUCCUGACACCUUCAAUGGCAUGAUGAGCCCGGUUCAUGUCAACAGAGUAGAUGGGGUGUGGGAUCUUGCCUGGGUCCCAGGGCUGUGGAAGGUGGACAGCGGGCCCCUGAUGGGGUGUCCUAUGGAAGAUGGGAGGCUUCUUGAGGUGACCUUGUCUCCCUCUGACAUGGCCCUCCAGGUCUGAUCCUCCUACCAGGACUCUCCUGACCUGUCAGCCUCCUAGUAGCACCCCUGCCCCUCCUUGUCCUCUCAGCUCAGGACAUCUUGUCUAGAUCAGGGUAGAAAAACGUUCCACCUUAUUCAGUGCACCCUUCCCCCAAUCUAUUUGUCAAUGGAAAAUGAAGCUGAAAUUGGCUCCUCUGUGUCAUUCUCCCCGGAGGAAAUGACUGCAGAUGGCCUCUCUGAUGAGUGGAGAUGGGCCAAGAGAGAAGGAAAGCCCUAGAACAAAACCAAAAACAUGCGUGUGUGCAUCUCCACAGUAUCACCCUGUCUUCAUCACCAUGAUAUCAUUGCCAUCACCACAGCCACCAUCAAGCAAGUACAUUUGUUGAGGGCCUAUGGGGAAUUGCCAGCACAUAUCAUAAAUGUAUCAUUUUAUCACAGAGAUUCCCUGUAGUAUUGGUACUCUUCUUUUUUCCACUUUGUAAGCAAAAAAACUGAGGCUUAUGGGGACCAAAUACUUGCCUAAGCCAGUAGUUCUCAGUCAAGUGCUAUAUUGUCACUGGGUGACAUUUGGCAAUGGCUGAAGACAUUUUUGAUUUUCAUGAAAAGGAGAGAGUUACAAGCUGCACAACAAAGCAUUUUCUGGCUCAAGAGAUUAAUAAUGCCCAGGUUAAGAAAUUUGGGUGUCACAUAACACAUUAGCAAGUUAAGAGCAUUUUAUCAUGACUGGAUAUUGAAUAUUUAUCAAAUGUUUGUACCAUAUUCAGAUCAUCAUGUGUUAGUUUCCUAUUAAUGUGUUUAUGUGAUAAAUUCUAGCAAUAGAUUUUUCAGAUAUUGAAACCUUUCUUUCAUUCCUGGGAUAAAGUUUACUUAGCCCCAGCAUGGUAUCAUUUACACAAAAAUCUUAAGCAUACAAAACAAUAUUAUAUAUUAUUAUGUACGUAUAUGUGUGCAAUAAAAAUAUUCAAAAACCAUAGGAGAGAGAUGCAUACCAAUCUCAGAAUAAUGGCUGUUACUUCUGUGAAGGAAAGAAAUGGAAAUCAAUGGAGAACAUUCAACAGGUAUCUGUGAGGAUAUAAUUUCAAUCCCUGGCCUGGUUCAGUGGGUUAGGAUCUGGCAUUGCUGUGAGCUGUGGUGUAGGUCGCAGAUGCAGUAUGUAUCCUGCCUUGCCUAUGCCAUAGCCGUAGAACUCUACUAACUUUUUAAAAAUUUGAAGAAUGGUUGAUUUACAUUAUGUAUAUUUUGGGUAUACAGUGUAGUGAUUCGAUAUUUUUGCAAAUUGUACUACAUUAUAGUUUAUUACAGUUUUAAAUAGUUCAUUAAUGUAGAGUUUAUACAUUAAAUAGUAUAAAUACAUUAAAUAAACUAUUAAUGUAUAGUUUACACAUUAUAGUAUAAUUCUCUGUUCUAUACAGUAUAUCCAAGUUGCUUAUUUUAUAAAUAGUGGUGUGUCUGCUAAUCUCAUACCCUUAAUUUGCUCCCCUGCAUCCCCUUGGUAACCACAAGUUUGUUUUCUAAGUCCACAAGUCUGCUUUUCUUUUGAGUAUACAUUCAUUUGUAUUAUUUUUUAGAUUCCACAUAUAAGUGAUAUCAUAUAAUAUUUGUCUUUCUGUCUGAUGUAUUUCAUUAAGCAUAAUAUUCUCUAUGGUACUCACAAAUUUAGUUAAAUAAUUAACCAAUUACUUAAAAGCUUGCUGGAAUAUAACACCGUAACGUGAGUCCCAAAGCUGCUUUCCUCUUAGCCGUAUCCUCAGGGUGUAGUAAAGUGUCUGAUGAGCAAUGGGUCUUCAGCAAAUCCAUAUGGAAGGAAUGAAGUGAUAAAUUAAUGAGGGGAUGCAUUUUUCUCUAUCACUGUGAUGACUGGACAGGAAGAGAACUCAGCUGGUCCACCACCGUUGUGGCCUCAGUCUGUCUCUUACCUAGGUCAUGGUGCAUGGAUCUGAAGGGUGAAAUCUUGCUCCAGUGGCCACCAAAUAGAAAGGGAAAUGUCAGGUUACUGGCAUGAGUCAAGGUGUGAAGGCCAACAGGCCGGGAAACCAAGGAAGUGAAGGGUGAAGAAGUGAAGGUUGUAGUGGAUGCUUUCAUGGAGCGAGGCGGGCCCCAUGUAAGAGUCCACAGUGCACCUGUGAGAGAAGACCAGGAUGUGGCCUCGUUCAUUUGGAUUUCUGGGGUUCCAGUUGAGAUUUCAUUUGUUCCAAAGGAUGAGUUCCAAAGCAUUCAUCUGCAGAGCAAUCACAGUGUGCCUCCAAAAAAUGCAGACUCCAGAGCAUCUCUAGAAAACGCUCUGAAUCCGUGGGUCCCCAGGGACCAGAACCCAAGUAUCUGCAUCAAAAUAGUAAAUAGGAGAGUUGGGGUGAGUAGGUAUAGGGUUGGGGCAUUGGAGGCAAGGAAAAGCAGUUUUAAAAUCCCUGGCCGAUGACCUCCUUUUGAGCGAAUGAAAACGCAUGUCACGGUGAACACCUUCACGACCUUGUGCCAACCGUGUCCUUGGAUUCCCUUUAAGCAGGAAGGAUAAUGGAGAGUGAUUACCACAACCACGUGUGCUAACAAAUCUGUAGUACUUGGUGGCUCCUGCUUUUAAUUCAGACAUGACAAAGAUUAAUACUGACUUGGCUUCCUUUGUCUAGACCCAGCCCUCCUCAGGUAUAAAUAGCAACCUAGGCCUUUUAUGCGGAUGCCGUCUUAAUGAAGCUCUAAAAUAAUAUAUGCUGUUAAUUCUCAACCCUAUAAAUACAAGCAUUUCAUGUUAUUUUUACAAAAUUGAUCUACAGGAGUGGCCCUAUGUCUUUAGCAAGAAGGUGGAGGGAGAGGAGAUGUUGU
ensembl:lncRNA